GAGGAUCAUGACGGUACCUGAAGAAUAAGCUCCGGCUAACUACGUGCCAGCAGCCGCGGUAAUACGUAGGGCGCAAGCGUUAAUCGGAAUUACUGGGCGUAAAGUGGGCGCAAGCUGUUGUGUAAGUCUGACGUGAAAUCCCCGGGCUCAACCUGGGAAUUGCGAUGGAGACUGCAAGGCUUGAGUGUGGUAGAGGGUGGUAGAAUUCCACGUGUAGCAGUGAAAUGCGUAUAUAUGUGGAGGAACACCGAUGGCGAAGGCAGCCCCCUGGAUCAAGACUGACGCUCAUGCUCUAAAGCGUGGGUAGCAAACAGGAUUAAAUACCCUGGUAGUCCACGCCAUAAACUAUGUCUACUAGUUGUCGGGUCUUCAAUGACUCUGUGAACGCAGCUAACGCGUGAAGUAUACCGCCUGGGGAGAACGGUCGCAAGACUAAAAUCCAGAA
rnacentral:rRNA from 1 species